rnacentral:ribozyme from 13 species
UUUCUUUUUUCAUUUUCUUUUUCUUUUUCUUUUUUUUGUCUUCUGUUGUUGUUCUUGACUUCUUUUUCUUCAUUUCCUCAAAAACGGAGGAAGGAAAGGAUACAAUCGAUAAGGACCAACAGAAAAAGAAGAAGAUGAUUUU